AGAGCUGAUCAUCUUUCUUAAAAAACAACCAAUAAUAGUAAAGAAGACACAAGACUUACUGCAAAAAUAUUUUUCCAAGCAAUCAGGAAAGAAAAUUGCCUCUAUUCUCAAGUCAGAUGCACUUCAAGCAAAAAAGUGAUCUCAAUGUAGAGUUUAUGGGUUUGCACUUCUAAACUUUAACAUUCCUUCAGUUCUCUC